rnacentral:rRNA from 1 species
UACGUAGGGGGCAAGCGUUGUCCGGAAUUAUUGGGCGUAAAGAGCUCGUAGGCGGUUCGUCGCGUCGGCUGUGAAAUCCCGGAGCUCGACUCCGGGUCUGCAGUCGAUACGGGCGGACUUGAGUACUGCAGGGGAGACUGGAAUUCCUGGUGUAGCGGUGAAAUGCGCAGAUAUCAGGAGGAACACCGGUGGCGAAGGCGGGUCUCUGGGCAGUAACUGACGCUGAGGAGCGAAAGCGUGGGGAGCGAACAGG